rfam:Asian citrus Psyllid, Diaphorina citri - Florida Strain, whole genome shotgun sequence.
GCCUUGGUUGGUAGCGUGUCUGCCUUGUAAGCGCUAGGCCGCGGGUUCGAUUCCCGCCCGGGGCG